AGGCUGGGGUGCUUGCUUAAGCAGGCUGAGAUUAAGCUGGAUUGCUUUGACCCAUGAACCUGAUUUGGAUAAUGCCAACGUAGGGAGAGA
rnacentral:ncRNA from 1 species